GACCUCUUCGGAGGUCAGCGGCGGACGGGUGAGGAACACGUGGGUAAUCUGCCUUUCAGACUGGAAUAACGCCCGGAAACGGGCGCUAAUGCCGGAUACGCCCGAUGGGAGGCAUCUCUUGUCGGGGAAAGGGCCAACCGGUCCGCUGAGAGAGGAGCCCGCGGCGCAUUAGCUGGUUGGCGGGGUAACGGCCCACCAAGGCGACGAUGCGUAGCCGGCCUGAGAGGGUGAACGGCCACACUGGGACUGAGACACGGCCCAGACUCCUACGGGAGGCAGCAGUAGGGAAUCUUCCGCAAUGGGCGCAAGCCUGACGGAGCAACGCCGCGUGAGCGAAGAAGGCCUUCGGGUUGUAAAGCUCUGUUGCUCGGGGAGAGUGGCGCGGGGAGGGGAAAGCCCUGCGCGAGACGGUACCGAGUGAGGAAGCCCCGGCUAACUACGUGCCAGCAGCCGCGGUAAAACGUAGGGGGCGAGCGUUGUCCGGAAUCACUGGGCGUAAAGGGUGCGUAGGCGGUCGAGCAAGUCUGGAGUGAAAGUCCGUGGCUCAACCAUGGGAUGGCUCUGGAAACUGCUUGACUUGAGUGCUGGAGAGGCAAGGGGAAUUCCACGUGUAGCGGUGAAAUGCGUAGAGAUGUGGAGGAAUACCAGUGGCGAAGGCGCCUU
rnacentral:rRNA from 1 species